GAUGAAGAACGUAGCGAAAUGCGAUAAGUAAUGUGAAUUGCAGAAUUCAGUGAAUCAUCGAAUCUUUGAACGCACCUUGCGCUCUUUGGUAUUCCGAAGAGCAUGCCUGUUUGAGUGUCAUGAAAAUAUCAACCUUGACUUGGGUUUUGUGCUCUAGUCUCGGCUUGGAAUUGGGUGCUUGCCGCUUUUACGAGCGGCUCACCUUAAAUGUAUUAGCUGGAUCUGUCUUUGAGACUUGGUUUGACUUGGCGUAAUAAGUAUUUCGCUAAGGACAUUCUUCGGAGUGGCCUCGUUUCUAGGGCGCUUGUCCGCUUUCCAAUACAAGUUCCACCUCGUGGACAUGACUUUUUAUUAUCUGGCCUCAAAUCAGGUAGGACUACCCGCUGAACUUAAGCAUAUCAAUAAGCGGAGGA
rnacentral:misc_RNA from 1 species